AGUGAACGCUGGCGGUAGGCCUAACACAUGCAAGUCGAACGGCAGCACAGUAAGAGCUUGCUCUUACGGGUGGCGAGUGGCGGACGGGUGAGGGAUACAUCGGAAUCUACUUUUUCGUGGGGGAUAACGUAGGGAAACUUACGCUAAUACCGCAUACGACCUACGGGUGAAAGCAGGGGAUCUUCGGACCUUGCGCGAUUGAAUGAGCCGAUGUCGGAUUAGCUAGUUGGCGGGGUAAAGGCCCACCAAGGCGACGAUCCGUAGCUGGUCUGAGAGGAUGAUCAGCCACACUGGAACUGAGACACGGUCCAGACUCCUACGGGAGGCAGCAGUGGGGAAUAUUGGACAAUGGGCGCAAGCCUGAUCCAGCCAUACCGCGUGGGUGAAGAAGGCCUUCGGGUUGUAAAGCCCUUUUGUUGGGAAAGAAAAGCAGCAGGUUAAUACCCCGCUGUUCUGACGGUACCCAAGGAAUAAGCACCGGCUAACUUCGUG
rnacentral:rRNA from 1 species